rnacentral:ncRNA from 1 species
GCAAAAGCGAUGAUAAAGAUAAGUAAGCUGAAUCAUUUUGUUUCCAGGGAAAAAGGGUCGGCGACUGAGAGCCCUUUAACAAAAGUUCGGCUGAAAUUCCCUUUUGAGCUGCAGGUUGAAGAAGCGUCAGCUUUUGUAGACUGAGCCGGGUCUUUCCCGUUAAAAGAAAGCGAGUAUCGGUUUUUUUAGUGGUCAGUUACCGGUAACCGGUAAGCAGCAUCAACUGAACGCUAAAUUGGCCCGUACUUUGAAAUGAGAGGGUUGCUUUUUUCAACCAACUUAGGGUGGUAACGCGGAAGUAAAACUUUCGUCCCUGGAGGGCGAAAGUUUUUUUAUUUAGCAACCAAUUUGGGUGGUACCGCGGAAGUCUACGACUUUCGUCCCAUUG